UACCAGACUCCUACGGGAGGCAGCAGUGAGGAAUAUUGGUCAAUGGGCGGGAGCCUGAACCAGCCAAGCCGCGUGAAGGAAGAAGGCGCCAGGCGUCGUAAACUUCUUUUGUCGGGGAACAAAGGGCGCCACGCGUGGCGUUGUGAGUGUACCCGAAGAAAAAGCAUCGGCUAACCCCGUGCCAGCAGCCGCGGUAAUACGGAGGAUGCGAGCGUUAUCCGGAUUUAUUGGGUUUAAAGGGUGCGUAGGCGGUCCGGAAGGUCAGGGGUAAAAGCCGGGGGCCCAACCCCGGCGAGCCGUUGAAACUGGCGUUCUUGAGUGGGCGAGAAGUAUGCGGAAUGCGUGGUGUAGCGGUGAAAUGCAUAGAUAUCACGCAGAACUCCGAUUGCGAAGGCAGCAUACCGGCGCCCAACUGACGCUGAAGCACGAAAGCGUGGGUAUCGAACAGGAUUAGAUACCCGCGUAC
rnacentral:rRNA from 1 species